rfam:Apis mellifera strain DH4 linkage group 12, whole genome shotgun sequence.
UUCCAAGGGGGAAAGGUUAUAGCGAUUAUGAGAAAUUAAGCCAUAAGCGUAUAGCUUUUUCCCUUUGGCA